ACGAACGCUGGCGGCGUGCCUAAUACAUGCAAGUCGAGCGAACCAAUAAGAAGCUUGCUUUUUGUUGGUUAGCGGCGGACGGGUGAGUAACACGUGGGUAACCUGCCUGUAAGACCGGGAUAACUCCGGGAAACCGGUGCUAAUACCGGAUAGAUUAUCUUUCCGCAUGGAGAGAUAAGGAAAGAUGGCUAUUGCCAUCACUUACAGAUGGGCCCGCGGCGCAUUAGCUAGUUGGUGAGGUAACGGCUCACCAAGGCGACGAUGCGUAGCCGACCUGAGAGGGUGAUCGGCCACACUGGGACUGAGACACGGCCCAGACUCCUACGGGAGGCAGCAGUAGGGAAUCUUCCGCAAUGGACGAAAGUCUGACGGAGCAACGCCGCGUGAGCGAAGAAGGUCUUCGGAUCGUAAAGCUCUGUUGUUAGGGAAGAACAAGUAUCGGAGGAAAUGCCGGUACCUUGACGGUACCUGACGAGAAAGCCACGGCUAACUACGUG
rnacentral:rRNA from 1 species